GAGCUUAGAGUUUGAUCCUGGCUCAGAUUGAACGCUGGCGGCAGGCCUAACACAUGCAAGUCGAGCGGUAGAGAGGUGCUUGCACCUCUUGAGAGCGGCGGACGGGUGAGUAAUGCCUAGGAAUCUGCCUGGUAGUGGGGGAUAACGCUCGGAAACGGACGCUAAUACCGCAUACGUCCUACGGGAGAAAGCAGGGGACCUUCGGGCCUUGCGCUAUCAGAUGAGCCUAGGUCGGAUUAGCUAGUUGGUGAGGUAAUGGCUCACCAAGGCGACGAUCCGUAACUGGUCUGAGAGGAUGAUCAGUCACACUGGAACUGAGACACGGUCCAGACUCCUACGGGAGGCAGCAGUGGGGAAUAUUGGACAAUGGGCGAAAGCCUGAUCCAGCCAUGCCGCGUGUGUGAAGAAGGUCUUCGGAUUGUAAAGCACUUUAAGUUGGGAGGAAGGGCAGUUACCUAAUACGUAAUUGUUUUGACGUUACCGACAGAAUAAGCACCGGCUAACUCUGUGCCAGCAGCCGCGGUAAUACAGAGGGUGCAAGCGUUAAUCGGAAUUACUGGGCGUAAAGCGCGCGUAGGUGGUUCGUUAAGUUGGAUGUGAAAGCCCCGGGCUCAACCUGGGAACUACAUUCAAAACUGUCGAGCUAGAGUAUGGUAGAGGGUGGUGGAAUUUCCUGUGUAGCGGUGAAAUGCGUAGAUAUAGGAAGGAACACCAGUGGCGAAGGCGACCACCUGGACUGAUACUGACACUGAGGUGCGAAAGCGUGGGGAGCAAACAGGAUUAGAUACCCUGGUAGUCCACGCCGUAAACGAUGUCAACUAGCCGUUGGGAGCCUUGAGCUCUUAGUGGCGCAGCUAACGCAUUAAGUGACCGCCUUGGAU
rnacentral:rRNA from 1 species